UCCGUAGGCGGUUUUAUUAGUCUGUGGUCAAAUCCCAGGGCUCAACCCUGGAAUCGUCACGGAAACUGUAAAACUUGAGGUGUGCAGGGGCAGAUGGAAUUCCAGAAGUAGGGGUAAAAUCCGUAGAUCUCUGGAGGAACACCAAACGCGAAGGCAUUCUGCUGGGCACUACCUGACGCUGAGGGACGAAAGCGUGGGGAGCAAACG
rnacentral:rRNA from 1 species